CAGGAUGACAGGAAUGGCCCCGGCACAGGAGCAGAGCAGCGACCCUGCAGGACAUGUUCAGGGCGCCCGGCCUCCCAUCUCCCUGCCUCGUGGGCCUGGAUGUGCAGGAAGAGAUGGAGUCUUGCUAUAUUGGUGGUCUCAAACUCCUGGCCCUAAGCGAUCCUCUUGCCUCAACCUCCCAAAGCGCCGGGAUGACAGGCGUGAGCCAGUGCACCUGGCCUGACCUUGAUUUCAGUGGUGGUUUCACAACAUCCACUUACGUCAAAACAUAUUGGAUUAUAUUCUUUAAGUAUGGGCAGCUUGUUGUUGACAAUUUCAACUCAAUAAAGCUGUUUUACAAAAAUAUAUAUAUAUAUAUUAAAAAGACAGAAAUGUGAUAUUGAAAUGAGACGGUAGUCAUAGGAAAAAAGGUUAAUGUGGAUUACUUUCUUACACUUUACACCAGAAAUAUAUGUGAAUUAUCAGAGAUCUAAUGUGAAUGGAUCAGAGAUAGAAUCAUAAAAUGACAUAAAACCACAACGAGGGGUCGUCUGUGCUGGAGGACAGCUCCGUGUCUGGAUUCCGUGGUGAAAAAGGGCGCAGAACUGCGCAGUCAUCCCCGUGACAAUUUCCCGGCUGUGACUCAGCUUCUAGUUCCCAAGAUGCCACCAUUGGGGGAGGAGGGACCUCCUGUGCCAUUUUCACAACUUCCUGGGGAUCUCUAACCAUUUCCAAAUAAAAAGCAUUUGAAAUUGAUGAGCAAAGCCUGAAGGCCUGGAAGGAAACACGAAUGGGCUUUGCUAUAUUCUCUAUAUUUAAAAAACAACUUUUGCUGGGCGCAGAGGCUCACACUGGUAAUCCCAGCACUUUGGGAGGCGGAGGCGGGUGGAUCACUUGAGGUCAGGAGUUUGAG
rnacentral:lncRNA from 10 species